rnacentral:rRNA from 1 species
GUCUACGGCCAUGCCACCCUGAACACACCCGAUCUCGUCUGAUCUUGGAAGCUAAGCAGGGUCAGGCCUGGUUUGUACUUGCAUGGGAGACCACCUAGGAAGACUAGGUGCUGUAGGCA